UGGUAUGUUAAACUCCUUCUUUACAUUAACACAAGGGCUAAAUAAUAUUUCCUGUGUGAUUAAUUAUAGGAAUAUAUCAGAAUGUUUCUUGUUAAAUUGGCAAACAGUGUUGUAAAUGUGCAGUUAUUUUAAACAUUGCUUGUAAUUAUGUGACACUUGAAGGGCUUUGCAUUGAGUUAAAAUUUGGAUUUUAAUUUUUGCCUUCUAUUCUUUCCAUUCUCAAACACAGGACAUCUGAUGAACCUUCUGGAGCUUCUCAGCAGAGACCAUUCUCCUCUCUUCAUUGAAACAUGCACUGUCCAGCUGUGAAACAUUGCAAGGUUUAUUUUUGCUGACAGGAAACACUUUCAAGUAUCGUUCUGUCUUUCUCCUACAAGAGUUCCCACCAGUGCUGUCAGAAGGUCACAAACAGGGCACUACCUGUGCUGCCCUGGGGCUGUUGAUGUCCUCAGCUGUUGUAGGAGAAACACUAGACCUGGAACCCAGUUUGUUACUGGUAAGAAAUAAUUGUCUUGGAUUUCAUUUGUUUAUUUAUUCAACAUUGUAGUUUACAUGUUUUCAUUAACUAAAUCUGCAAAAAUCACUUGCUGCUUUUAAUAACAAUAUAGCAAAAUAUGCAUAUCUGGUCUUUUAUUCCCUCUAAAAUUUUUAACUUUACAGUUGCUUAAUUUUGAAUUCUAAUUACCCUCGUCCUGAGAUGUGGAGGACAGCAGUUUUCACUUACCUCUCAUUUUCAGUCCUGGUUUUCUCUUGAAAUUCAUGUGCUGUCAGAGCUAAUGAAGGUUAAUAAAUG
rnacentral:lncRNA from 1 species